GCAAAUUUCCGUAAUCCGGUGAGUACAACCCUGAAGUUCUAUGAGAACAGAGGGAGUAGGCCUUAAGCUCUCUACAUAAAUAAAUUACAGAUGCUCACAACGCCAAGUCUAACCACACCCCCACGGGUUACAGCAGUAAUAAAACUUAAGCCAUGAACGAAAGUUUGACUAAGUUAUACUGACUCAGGGUUGGUAAACUUCGUGCCAGCCACCGCGGUCAUACGAAUGACCCUAGUAAAUAAACCCCGGCGUAAAGAGUAUAUAUUCCAAUUAGUAAAGCUAAAAUUAGGCUAAUCUGUAAAAAGUCUUAGCCCAAAUGAAAAACUACCUCGAAAGAGGCUUUAUUAAACUAUUAUACUAAAGCUAUAGCACAAACUGGGAUUAGAUACCCCACUAUGUAUAGCCAUAAACAUAAGCAGAUCCAAAACAAAUCUGCUCGCCCGAGAACUACUAGCCACAGCUUAAAACUCAAAGGACUUGGCGGUGCUUUAUAUCCAUCUAGAGGAGCCUGUUCUGUAAUCGAUAAACCCCGAUAUACCUUACCAUUUCUUGCUAAUACCGUCUAUAUACCGCCAUCUUCAGCAAACCCUUAAAAGGCUGACAAGUAAGCUCAAUAAUAAUAUAUUAAAAAGUUAGGUCAAGGUGUAACUUAUGAAAUGGAAUGAAAUGGGCUACAUUUUCUGUUUAAGAAUACACGAAACCCUGCCUGAAAUAGGCAGGGUGAAGGAGGAUUUAGCAGUAAACUAAAAAUAGAGUGUUUAGUUG
rnacentral:rRNA from 1 species